ensembl:lncRNA
CUCUUCCAGUGUCCCCUCCCCAUCUCCAAUGUCCCCUCCCCUCUUCCAGUGUCCCCUCCCCUCUUCCAGUGUCCCCUCCCAGUGCCAAUGUCCCUUCCCAGUGCCAAUGUCCCUUCCCAGUGCCAAAGUCCCCUCCCAGUGCCAAUGUCCCCUCUUCCAGUGUCCCCUCCCAAUGCCAGUGUCCCCUCCCAGUGCCCCGUGUCCCCUCCCCACCUCCAGUGUCCCCUCCCAGUGCCCGGGCUCACGGACACCACAGCCGCACUGGUUUUUACUGGUUUUUAUUGGUGUGACGCAGGGGACCCCACGCCUGUGCCCGCCCUCGUGUGUCCCUGCGUGUCCCCCAGGGGUGACCCGGCCUGGCUGUGUCCCCGCAGUGCCACCCUGCUGCCCGUCCUGCCAUCCCUGAUGACGCUGACUCGGGCGGGCGUGAUGGGCCUGGAGGGCGCGGUGGCACUGCCCGGCUUGUCCCCAAGGGUGGCACUGCCAGGCCUGUCCCCAAGGGUGGCACUGCCAGGCCUGUCCCCCGUGGUGGCACCGCCCCGGGAAGGGCAGUCCCUGUCAGGGAUGGUGGCACUGCCACUGCUGGGUGUGUCCGUGAUGGGGGGACUGCCAGUGACGUGUCUGUCCCCAAGGGUGGCACUGCCCCUGGAUGGGCACUCCCGGAUGGGGACGGUGGCAGUGCCACCCACUGACCUGGCCCCAACAGGGAUGGUGGCACUGUCCCUGGACGGACACUCCCUGACAGAGGUGGUGGCACUGUCCCCACCAGACCAGUCCCCACGAGGGACGGUGACACCGUCCCUGGAUGGGCACUCCCUGGCAGAGGUGGUGGCACUGUCCCUGGAUGGGCAUUCCCUGAUGGGGACAGUGGCACUGUCCCUGCCAGACCAAUCCCCACGAGGGAUGGUGGCACUGUCCCUGUCAGAGGUGGUGGCACUGUCCCUGGACGGGCAUUCCCGGAUGGGGACAGUGGCACUGUCCCUGCCUGGCCAGUCCCUGUCACAGAUGGUGGCUCUGUCUCUGCCAGACCAAUCCCCACGAGGAAUGGUGGCACUGUCCCUGUCAGAGGUGGUGGCACUGUCCCUGCCUGGCCUGUCCCCAGUGGUGGCACUGCCAGGCCUGUCCCCAGUGGUGCCACUGCUCCUGUCCCCAAAGUCACUGGGCCUGUGUGGCCUGUCCCUGCUGGGCACAGUGGCACUGCCACUGCUCCUGUCCCCACUGCCACUGGGCCUGUGUGGCCUGUCCCUGACAGGGACGGUGGCACUGCCAGGCCUGUCCCCAGUGGUGGCACUGCCAGGCCUGUCCCCUGUGGUGUCACUGCUCCUUUCCCCACUGUCACUGUCUCUGGGUGGCCUGUCCCUGACAGGGAUGGUGGCACUGCCAGGCCUGUCCCCAGUGGUGCCACUGCUCCUGUCCCCAAUGUCGCUGCCCCUGUGUGGCCUGUCCCUGACAGGGAUGGUGGCACUGCCAGGCCUGUCCCCUGUGGUGUCACCGCUCCUUUCCCCACUGUCACUGGGCCUGGGUGGCCUGUCCCUGCUGGGCACGGUGACACUGCCCAGUCUGUCCCCAAAGUCACCAGGCCUGUGUGNCCUGUCCCUGCUGGAGAUGGUGGCACUGCCCAGCCUGUCCCCAGGGGUGGCACUGCUCCUGCCUGGCCUGUCCCCAGGGGUGGCACUGGCCCUGAUCUGCCUGUCCCCAGGGGUGGCACUGCCUGGCCUGUCCCCAGGGGUGGCACUGGCCCUGGCUGUGCUGUCCUUGAUUGGGACAGUGGCACUGCCACCAGCUGUGCUGUCCCCAGGGGUGGCACUGUCCCUGCCCUGCCUGUCCCCAGGGGUGGCACUGUCCCUGC